rnacentral:rRNA from 1 species
GUGGGGAAUAUUGGGCAAUGGAGGAAACUCUGACCCAGCAACGCCGCGUGGAGGAAGAAGGUUUUCGGAUCGUAAACUCCUGUCCUUGGAGACGAGUAGAAGACGGUAUCCAAGGAGGAAGCCCCGGCUAACUACGUGCCAGCAGCCGCGGUAAUACGUAGGGGGCAAGCGUUGUCCGGAAUAAUUGGGCGUAAAGGGCGCGUAGGCGGCUCGGUAAGUCUGGAGUGAAAGUCCUGCUUUUAAGGUGGGAAUUGCUUUGGAUACUGUCGGGCUUGAGUGCAGGAGAGGUUAGUGGAAUUCCCAGUGUAGCGGUGAAAUGCGUAGAGAUUGGGAGGAACACCAGUGGCGAAGGCGACUAACUGGACUGUAACUGACGCUGAGGCGCGAAAGUGUGGGGAGCAAACAGGAUUAGAAACCCCUGUAGUCC